rnacentral:sRNA from 1 species
AGGGGCGGCCCUCCUUGGGCGUUUCCUCCCUGAACUUGGCCCGGUUCCGAAAGGGAUCGGGCCUUUUUUCGUUCUGA